rnacentral:rRNA from 1 species
ACUUUAAUUGAAGAGUUUGAUCAUGGCUCAGAUUGAACGCUGGCGGCAGGCCUAACACAUGCAAGUCGAGCGGCAGCGACUUAACUGAACCUUCGGGGAACGUUAAGGGCGGCG